rnacentral:tRNA from 1 species
GCAUCGGUGGUUCAAUGGUAGAAUUCUCGCCUGCCACGCGGGUGAUCCGGGUUCGAUUCCCGGCCGAUGCA